CCUACGGGUGGCUGCAGUAGGGAAUUUUCGUCAAUGGGCGCAAGCCUGAACGAGCAAUGCCGCGUGAACGAGGAAGGUCUUCGGAUCGUAAAGUUCUGUUGAAGGGGAAAAAGAGCGGAGAGAGGAAAUGAACUCCGAUUGAUAUUACCCUUCGAGGAAGUCACGGCUAACUACGUGCCAGCAGCCGCGGUAAUACGUAGGUGGCGAGCGUUAUCCGGAAUGAUUGGGCGUAAAGGGUGCGUAGGCGGCCUGCUAAGUCUGGAGUGAAAGGUACCGGCUCAACCGGUACAGGCUCUGGAAAAUGGCGGGCUAGAGGGCAAGAGGGGGCGGUGGAACUCCAUGUGUAGCGGUAAAAUGCGUAGAUAUAUGGAAGAAAACCAGUGGCGGAGGCGGCCGCCUGGCCUGUUGACUGACGCUGAGGCACGAAAGCGUGGGGAGCAAAUAGGAUUAGAUACCCCAGUAGUC
rnacentral:rRNA from 1 species